UACGUAGGGUCCAAGCGUUAUCCGGAAUCACUGGGCGUAAAGCGUGCGUAGGUGGAUGUUUAAGUGUAAUGCGAAAUCCUGUGGCUCAACCAUAUGGACUGUAUUGCAUACUGGGCAUCUAGAGGAUGGUAGAGGCAAGUGGAACUGGCAGUGUAGCAGUGAAAUGCGUAGAUAUUGCCAAGAACACCAAUGGCGAAGGCAGCUUGCUGGGCCACACCUGACACUAAGGCACGAAAGCGUGGGGAGCGAACAGG
rnacentral:rRNA from 2 species